AAUAGAUACCCAGGUAGUCCACGCCCUAAACGAUGUCAACUAGCUGUUGGGGUUUAUUAACCUUAGUAGCGCAGCUAACGCGUGAAGUUGACCGCCUGGGGAGUACGGUCGCAAGAUUAAAACUCAAAGGAAUUGACGGGGACCCGCACAAGCGGUGGAUGAUGUGGAUUAAUUCGAUGCAACGCGAAAAACCUUACCUACCCUUGACAUGUCUGGAAUCCCGAAGAGAUUUGGGAGUGCUCGCAAGAGAACCGGAACACAGGUGCUGCAUGGCUGUCGUCAGCUCGUGUCGUGAGAUGUUGGGUUAAGUCCCGCAACGAGCGCAACCCUUACCAUUAGUUGCUACAUUCAGUUGGGCACUCUAAUGGGACUGCCGGUGACAAACCGGAGGAAGGUGGGGAUGACGUCAAGUCCUCAUGGCCCUUAUGGGUAGGGCUUCACACGUCAUACAAUGGUCGGGACAGAGGGUUGCCAAGCCGCGAGGUGGAGCCAAUCUCAGAAACCCGAUCGUAGUCCGGAUCGCAGUCUGC
rnacentral:rRNA from 1 species